UGAACGUGGGGAUCAAUUUUCUAUAAAAUUAAAACGAUACAGACAAGAUUAGCAUAACAUCUUCGCAGCGAUAACAUGCAUAAAUUGAGAAAUGGUCCCAUUUUUU